GACGAACGCUGGCGGCGUGCUUAACACAUGCAAGUCGAACGGAAAGGCCCUGCUUUUGUGGGGUGCUCGAGUGGCGAACGGGUGAGUAACACGUGAGUAACCUGCCCUUGACUUUGGGAUAACUUCAGGAAACUGGGGCUAAUACCGGAUAGGGGCUCCUGCUGCAUGGUGGGGGUUGGAAAGUUUCGGCGGUUGGGGAUGGACUCGCGGCUUAUCAGCUUGUUGGUGGGGUAGUGGCUUAUCAAGGCUUUGACGGGUAGCCGGCCUGAGAGGGUGACCGGCCACAUUGGGACUGAGAUACGGCCCAGACUCCUACGGGAGGCAGCAGUGGGGAAUAUUGCACAAUGGGCGGAAGCCUGAUGCAGCAACGCCGCGUGCGGGAUGACGGCCUUCGGGUUGUAAACCGCUUUCGCCUGUGACGAAGCGUGAGUGACGGUAAUGGGUAAAGAAGCACCGGCUAACUACGUG
rnacentral:rRNA from 1 species